rnacentral:rRNA from 1 species
GUCGGAAUCUGGGAGGACCAUCUCCCAAGGCUAAAUACUCUCUAGUGACCGAUAGUGAACCAGUACCGUGAGGGAAAGGUGAAAAGCACCCCGGAAGGGGAGUGAAAUAGAACCUGAAACCGUGUGCUUACAAAUAGUCAGAGCCCGUUAAUGGGUGAUGGCGUGCCUUUUGUAGAAUGAACCGGCGAGUUACGAUUUGAUGCAAGGUUAAGCAGUAAAUGUGGAGCCGUAGCGAAAGCGAGUCUGAAUAGGGCGAAUGAGUAUCUGGUCGUAGACCCGAAACCAAGUGAUCUACCCAUGUCCAGGUUGAAGUUCAGGUAACACUGAAUGGAGGACCGAACCGACUUACGUUGAAAAGUGAGCGGAUGAGGUGUGGGUAGCGGAGAAAUUCCAAUCGAACUUGGAGAUAGCUGGUUCUCUCCGAAAUAGCUUUAGGGCUAGCCUCAAGUGAUGAUUAUUGGAGGUAGAGCACUGUUUGGACGAGGGGCCCCUCUCGGGUUACCGAAUUCAGACAAACUCCGAAUGCCAAAUAAUUUAACUUGGGAGUCAGACUAUGGGUGAUAAGGUCCGUAGUCGAAAGGGAAACAGC